GACGAACGCUGGCGGCGUGCUUAACACAUGCAAGUCGAACGGUAAGGCCCUUCGGGGUACACGAGUGGCGAACGGGUGAGUAACGCGUGGGAACGUGCCCUUCUCUACGGAAUAGCCCCGGGAAACUGGGAGUAAUACCGUAUACGCCCUUUGGGGGCACGAUUUAUCGGCGAAGGAUCGGCCCGCGUUGGAUUAGGUAGUUGGUGGGGUAAUGACCCACCAAGCCGACGAUCCAUAGCUGGUUUUAGAGGAUGAUCAGCCACACUGGGACUGAGACACGGCCCAGACUCCUACGGGAGGCAGCAGUGGGGAAUCUUAGACAAUGGGCGCAAGCCUGAUGCAGCGACGCCGCGUGAGGGAUGACGGCCUUCGGGUUGUAAACCUCUUUCAGCACCGACGAAGCGCAAGUGACGGUAGGUGCAGAAGAAGGACCGGCCAACUACGUGCCAGCAGCCGCAGUAA
rnacentral:rRNA from 1 species